rnacentral:rRNA from 1 species
CCUACGGGACGCACCAGUGGGGAAUAUUGGACAAUGGGCGAAAGCCUAAUCCAGCAAUGCCGCGUGUGUGAAGAAGGUCUUCGGAUUGUAAAGCACUUUCGACGGGGUCGAUGAUGACGGUACCCGUAGAAGAAGCCCCGGCUAACUUCGUGCCAGCAGCCGCGGUAAUACGAAGGGGGCUAGCGUUGCUCGGAAUGACUGGGCGUAAAGGGCGCGUAGGCGGUUUAUGCAGUCAGAUGUGAAAUCCCCGGGCUUAACCUGGGAGCUGCAUUUGAGACGCAUAGACUAGAGGUCGAGAGAGGGUUGUGGAAUUCCCAGUGUAGAGGUGAAAUUCGUAGAUAUUGGGAAGAACACCGGUGGCGAAGGCGGCAACCUGGCUCGAUACUGACGCUGAGGCGCGAAAGCGUGGGGAGCAAACAGGAUUAGAUACCCCGGUAGUC